rnacentral:rRNA from 1 species
UACGUAGGGGGCAAGCGUUGUCCGGAGUUACUGGGCGUAAAGGGCGCGCAGGCGGUUUGGCAAGUUUGGAGUGACAGUGCUCGGCUCAACUGAGCAAGGCCUCUGAAAACUGCUGGACUUGAGGACCAGAGAGGGACAUAGAAUUCCGGGUGGAGUGGUGAAAUGCGUAGAUAUCCGGAGGAAUACCAAAGGCGAAGGCAGUGUCCUGGCUGGUAACUGACGCUCAGGCGCGAAAGCUAGGGGAGCGAAC